rnacentral:rRNA from 1 species
UAGGGAAUCUUCCACAAUGGGCGCAGCNGAUGGAGCAACGCCGCGUGAGUGAAGAAGGUCUUCGGAUCGUAAAACUCUGUUGUUAGAGAAGAACAUGCGAGAGAGUAACUGUUCUUGUAUUGACGGUAUCUAACCAGAAAGCCACGGCUAACUACGUGCCAG